CGCCCUGUUGUGAGACGUGUUUAGCGCUCUGAGUAGCUGAAUCUUUUCGGUUCGUCUGGCCGCAGUGACGGGUGAUGUUAUCUGUAAGCUAGUACGAAUGGUGCUGCCAGUUUCGUGCCAUUCUCCGAUAUCGCCGGCGUCUCUGCUCUUCGCACUUUGCAAUGUCUUUCUCUAUGCUGUGUGCUCGAGUGUUCGACAGCAUUUCGCAUCUUCGCGCUGUCGCAACGUGCGCAAGUUUGCGAGAACAUUGCAAAAGAAGGAGCCGUUGGAUUUACUAAACACCGACGUAGUCAACCGUGCCGGAUUAUGCUUCCUAGCUGGCGAGUUCCUGAAACAGUGAGCAUGACGGCUCACGGACGAGAAGCGGCGACAAACACGGAUGCUGGCGCCACGACUAAUGGCAGCAGUCAAACGGCGACAGAAAACCUGCGGAGCUGACUUCAUCGCUGUACCCUUCUUUGUGGAUCGUAUUUCGUGCACUCGAGGAGAAGAUGAUGCACAUCUUCGUCUGGAUGGCCACAAGAACACUGCGGACUAGAGACACGCUUUAUCCUGUACAAGAAGUGUUUCGUAAAUGCAGUACCAAGACGCAGGUGGUGUACCAAUGUUUCAAAUUUUCUGUUGUUUCUUAGAUUUUCCGGCAUUGAUAAGUUUAUACGUGUGUCUAUGAAGUAUAACUCCGAGUUUUUAGUUUGCUGAUAAAACCAGGUAGUUUUGCUGAGGCGACAAGAAAUCAGUCUCAGGAGCACACGGACGUCACUAUGCAAUAGGGGAUGAUUGGUUGUCUCUCCGUUAUUGUGCGCCCGAUUCGCAGCUGCAUCCAUUGCAGUAUUACCAGGAAUAUUGCAGUGCCCAGGUAUCCACUGAACUGCAAUUACGUGGUUCAUUGAGCUU